rnacentral:rRNA from 1 species
CGAAUCUUUGAACGCACCUUGCACCUUUUGGUUAUUCCAAAAGGUACGCCUGUUUGAGU